AUUGUUUCCCUACUACUGAAUGUGGACUGACUGCCCUCAGAAUCACAAUGCAGCAGGUAUGGUGACGUUCGCCUUUAAUAUCAGCACUGGUUAAGGCUGAGAGAGGAGGAUCAUGAGCCUGGGCUACCAAGGAUUCGGUUUAAAAAAAAAAAAAAAAAAAGAAAAAGAAGGGUUGCCCGACUCUCUGAAAUUAUCUUUCUACCCAGCGCUUGCCUAAAAUCGGAUCGCCAGACACCUGCAGCCACUUAAGAAGGGCCUCAACUAAACGUAUGCUGUCAGGUUAAUUUUUUUUCUUCUGGAAAAAAAAAUCAGAAAGUUCUCUAGGGGAUUUUGAAGAGGGGACGAGACAAACGAAGACAGACCAGAGCCAGGCAUGGAGGCUACGCCUAGUAAUCCCAGAACAUCAGGGUUACUGCGCCAGGAGGAUAGAAGUUCGAGACCACCCUUGCCUACAUUGUGAGCUGUUGUCUCAAAAUGUUUACAAAAGAAAAAUACCGCAAAAGCCACCCCGGGGACGCUGUGUCCCGACAGGAUACUUCCUGCCGACCCAGGAGCGCUGGCUUCUCCGGCUCCUCCUCCAGGCAAACCCUCCAAGCCACUAAAACCGCUCCAGCCACGAAAGACCAACUCAGGGCCUUCACCAAUUUGUUCUUUGACAAAAGGGGAUGGCGGCGGAAGAGAAGACUGCAUUAUGGUGUCACUUCCGGGGCAGCCUCAGGCGGGGCGCGAGAGCUCAGGCCCAGCGGCCGCCGGUACAAAGCGCUUCGCGACGAGGCUGCCAAGCACGCACCCGCCUAGAGCGCCGACUUUAUUGUCUGGCUGGAACAGCGGGGGCGGGGCAUCCUUCCUGGGGGCGGGGCAUCCCUCCUGGGGGAGGGGCCUCUAUCUCAGGGUUGGGACCUCGUACUCUGGGGCUGGGCUACCUAUUCUUGGGGUCGAGCCGCUACCCAGGCUGCGGGACCAAGGUUCUCAGCUCAAGAGUGGGGUCGCUACUACUCGCACAGAGGCCGGGUCUGGGAACCCAACAGCCGGGGUUGAGUACCAGAAUCCUACUCUGGAGCGGGUCUUCGACCCAGAGGGGAGCCCACACGUCCAAGUUCGGUCUGGAGGUGGGGCCCGGGUCGAGUGCGUGGUGUGCACAGCGGGAUAGACCUGAAGAACAGGGUUUCACGUAGGGACUUGCCCCACCUGAUGCUCAGAAAAGCCUGCGAGUCUGCCGUCUAGCUUUUCACUAAAGCAGUCCAACCUACGCAGACUGGUCAGGAGUCACGUAAUGAGAAUUGUGCUAAAUGCACAGGGGCGCAGAAACUGAGAUCAGACUGGCAAGCAGAACAGGACUGGCCUCUGCUGUAAUCCUAGUAUCCAGGGUGUGGCUCUUUUGUUGAGCCUCUGUGUACCACGUUUGAAGUCCUGGAUUCUAACCACAGCACAGCAAGUGAGAACAAACAAAACAAUAAUACAACAACACAACUUUAAAAGCUCUGGGACUUCCUGUGAUGGAGGAGGGGUGCCACUAAGAAAUCUAUUCCUUGCUUGCUGUAUCCUUUUCCUUUUCUUCCUCCUCUUCCUCUCCUCCUGUUCCUACUCCUCCCCCUCUCCUUUUUUAAAGUUGGCGAUGUGGAUCAAACCCAGGGCCACCUUGGACCUGAGCGCCUGAGAUCGAUCCUUAGAAACUAUGUAAAACCAAAAGCCCGGUGCACAUUUGUAACCCCAAUGCUGGGAUAGAGAGGAAAGAUCAGUCCCGGGGACUUACUGGCCAGCCACCCUAGCCAACUUGCUGAAUUCCAGGGCAGGGAGAAUUGUAAACACACCUCAACCGGUUGCAGUGUAUGGUUUGUUUGUUUUGUUUUGUUUUUUGUUUUAACUCCUCUGGGGCUGGGCUCUGUUUGUUGCACAGUGGGAGUCUGAAAUUGUAGUCCAGGCCCCCAGCUUUUUGGUUUUCUUGAGUGUAGGCAUUUGGAGUCGGGAGCGUUGCAGGUAUGGCUUGGGCAGAAUCCCUUUCAAAUUUAUUUUUGAGACAGGAUCUCUUUCUUAAAUUUCUAUUACAAAUUCAUUUAACG
rnacentral:lncRNA from 1 species